GACGAACGCUGGCGGCACGCUUAACACAUGCAAGUCGAACGAGAGAAGAGAAGCUUGCUUUUCUGAUCUAGUGGCGGACGGGUGAGUAACACGUGAGCAAUCUGCCUUUCAGAGGGGGAUACCGAUUGGAAACGAUCGUUAAUACCGCAUAACAUAAUUGAACCGCAUGAUUUGAUUAUCAAAGAUUUAUCGCUGAAAGAUGAGCUCGCGUCUGAUUAGCUAGUUGGUAAGGUAACGGCUUACCAAGGCGACGAUCAGUAGCCGGACUGAGAGGUUGAUCGGCCACAUUGGGACUGAGACACGGCCCAGACUCCUACGGGAGGCAGCAGUGGGGAAUAUUGCACAAUGGAGGAAACUCUGAUGCAGCGAUGCCGCGUGAGGGAAGAAGGUUUUAGGAUUGUAAACCUCUGUCUUCAGGGACGAAAAAAGACGGUACCUGAGGAGGAAGCUCCGGCUAACUACGUGCCAGCAGCCGCGGUAAUGUCGUACG
rnacentral:rRNA from 1 species